UCGCCUGUUUAUCAAAAACAUAGUUUAGUGAAUAAAUACUAAAUAAAUUCUGCCCAGUGUUUAAAAAUAAAUGGCCGCAGUACCCUGACUGUGCUAAGGUAGCAUAAUCAAUUGGCUUUUAAUUGAAGUCUGGAAUGAAAGAAAUAAUGGGAAAAAACUGUCUUAAAGGUAUUAAUUUUAAUUUAUUUAAAAGGUGAAAAUACCUUUUUUAAUAAAAAAGACGAGAAGACCCUAAGAAUUUUUAAUUAGUUUUUAAAACUAAUUUUUUGUUGGGGCGACAAAUUAGAAAAAAUAACCUAAUUUUUUAAAUAGGCGAAUUUUUUAAGUGAUAAAAAAUUACCUUAGGGAUAACAGCAUAAUUAUUAAAAUAGUUUGUGACCUCGAUGUUGGACUAGGAACUUUAUGGCUAGCAGUCAAAAAAGAUUUAUUCUGUUCGAAUAAUUUUAUCCUACGUGAUCUGAGUUCAGACCGGA
rnacentral:rRNA from 1 species